CCUUCACCCGAGUUCUCUCAAGCGCCUGAGAAUUCUCAUCCUACCCACCUGUGUCGGUUUACGGUACGGUCUGCGUAAGCUGAAGCUUAGGAGCUUUUCCUGGAAGCGUGGUAUCAGUGACUUCGCCUUAAAGGCUCGUCUCGGUGCUCGGUCUUAAAGGAUCCCGGAUUUGCCAAAGAUCCAAACCUACCGCCUUUCCCCAGGACAACCAACGCCUGGUACACCUAACCUUCUCCGUCCCUCCAUCGCACUUACGCGAGGUGCAGGAAUAUUAACCUGCUUCC
rnacentral:rRNA from 14 species